UCUAUGCCGUUUACCAAAUAAUAAAUGCUUGCUAUAUAUUACUAAAUUUCAAUGUUUUCCUUAAGUUAUGAGUUCGGUUCAAAAGCAAAUCGUAUUAUUCUUGUAUCUUUGUUUAAAGUAUAAAAAGUUAUUUAUUAUAAAGAUUCGAUGCUCUUUUUGACAUUUUAUAAAUUGAAUUUCUCUGAAAAAGACCUCUGAAAAUAAAGUCAUUUUUUUUAUACUUCCUACUUGAAUUGUUAAGAAGAUAUAAUAAUGCAGUGUUACAAACCACGAUUCGAUUAAGCAGGGCGUUGCAAACGCUAGUUGUAUAAUAAUCGCCGGUGUUACAUGUGCAUGAAGAGCACAACUGCAAAUUAAAGUAAACAAGAAACUGCGCAGCGUCAAAGAAAAAGCUUCCACUAUACAAAAACUUCGAACCGAUAGCAACUAUCCACCAGUCUUAAUCUCUAAAAAUUUUUAUGAAAAUAACCACAGAUAAUUUUGAAUACGUUUUAAAACAUUUUUAAUGUUAAAGGCAAAAGAUUCGCAUGGAAUUUAUUAUAGAUGAAUAGCUAACAAAGCAUAGGUUUUCUGGUCCAUACCAAAACCACAAAUUCGUAUCCUACUAUCUAUCUUUCUAUCUUUCUAUCUAUCUAUCUAUUCGUAGGCGGCUCGCAGCGGCAGUCGUUCUGAUCCCUCCCAAGUAUCAAAGGCUAGCUGCAACAAACCACAAAAACAACUUCAAUGCACUCUUUUUUCUCAGAAACGUGCUUUUGUAUUAGCAUCUUUAAGACACUCUCUUAGGAUUAGCUUUCAUUUAAACAAACCCUUGAGAUAAACACAUGUUUGAUAUUCCUAUUUUGUACGCAAAUUGCUUCUUUAAAAGGGAAGGGAAGGAAGGGACUCGUUUUCAAGAAAACUAAACAGCAUAGCAAUGUAGGCAGUAAAUAUGCAUUAAAAAUCAAGUUCAAUGCGUACAAAUUUUGAAAUAUUGCCGAUGCAAAGAUCAUGGAAAAUUUGUUGGUAAACCAUUUAAGCAAUUAUAUGUCGAAUUGGUUCCUUUUAAAUGCUUCAAUUUUGGCACUGGAUCGUGUUAGUCUUCUUAUUGACGGACUGUUCUACAAAGCUCUCGCAGACGCCCCACAAGCAAUCAUCAGUCAUGCUGAUGCAAAUGCAUUGAAAACACCUGUUUUAGUAUUUGUGGUUUUAGUAUGCAUUAUUCAACUUAUGAACAUUGCGUUUUCCGUUACCAUGUAUUUUAACCCAGCGCCAGAUGACAAUAUAUUCGAAGAGAAAAGGAAAUGGCCAGUAAUUUUAUCGGUGCUUGUAGUGUGGAUUGAUUUUGCUCAGAUUGUAAUUGCCCUUUCAACCGCCUUCAGAACAAACCAACUGAUUGGAAAUGUUCAAUUUUCUCAGCCUGUUUUUGCGUUAAUUAAGACAUUUUUUCAGAUACCUGCACUUGCGCUUCUUUACUUUGACAACAACCAAUAUUCCCAACUAGGUGUCGAAGAAGAAAUUUGUUUGGUACGCUGUUUCAAAAAGUAUACAUCUAUUUCUUUUCAGAAUCUUGUAAUCAUUGCUCUAGCUGGAUUUAUUUUAAACUGUUGUUGUUCUGUUCUUUUGCUUGUUAGAGUUUCUACGAAUUUGUAACAACAAAAAGCUUUUAUUUCUUAUAUACAAUAGCUCCAACUAUGUAAUAAACAACCCUUUACUGUUAUAUAUAUAAUAAGAAAUACAUGGUACAUAAUUGUUUUUCAAUAUGUUGUGUGUUCCUGAUAACUUUGCUGAAUUGAUUGUAUUUCUAAAACAAUAAAUUACAUACUUUUUUUAGUAAUAUCUUUUGUUUUUAGUAUCAUUUUGGUUUCACUACAUUAAUUCUGUAUUUAUACAAUUAUUCUAGUGUUACUUGGUCAUUUUCAAAAGUCACAUUGUAUGAUAAAUCUAGUUUGCAAUUUUUUUUAUACUUUAUAUUUAUUUUAAGGGUGUUUAUUUCUUGUAUAUGUGUACAUGUAUAGAUAUUUAUUUAUAGCAAACUAUGUAUUCGUGUUUAUAUUUUUUUUUUUUUGUUGCAUGAUACUUUUAUUUAAAUACUAGUAUACUUUGUUUACACACAUGCGUACUACUAUUUACUUUCGAACAUUAAUAAUGCUGUUUCAUGUGGAGCACAUGGCUGAGUGAACAUGGGCGUUGGGCCAGUAACCAAAAGAUCACUGGUUCAAACCCUGCUGUGGUCACCUAAUGUUGAUUGUUGUGCGCUUUGACGGGCAUUUUAUUUUUAUUGUCCAAGUCAACUUUACUAAAAUUGGGUUUCAGCUCUGCCCUUGGAGUUAACCUGCAAUGGACUGGUGUCCCAUACAUCACAUAUAUAUAUCACCUAUUUCGUCAUAUUCUUUUCCGUUCAUGUGCGCGUUGACCGGAAUUGGGCCAAAAUACUAUGUAAAGCAAUUCAAUUCAUAACCAUUACUUCAUGAAAUUUAGCGUUAAAUUACCAUAAAUGAUAACCAUUGCUUUUUUAAAGCAAAACAUUACCUAAACCCUUACAUGAGAAAAGUAGUGUAAUACUAUCGCCUAAAGCUACUUUGUGAAAAGUCAAUGAUGAAUUUAAAAAAGUCAAUUUCAAAUAAGAUUUUUUUUGCAAGUCCUCAUUCAAUAUAUCAAACACACUUACUAUACUUACCAUCAUAUUCAAUUUUACUGAUUUGUACAAAAUUAUUUCUGUCGUUUUAUGGUCAUUAAAGUUUCAAAGGUGUUGUCUUUUAACUGCAUUCUGUCGGGUUUGAAAAUCUUACCAGUUAUACAAAAUAAACGUUAUACAUGUACUAGUGCAAAGGAAGCUGUUGACUUGGUGAUGUUGAUGGUGAUUGAGGUCAGAUCAUAUUUUGGAAGAAGGUCAAUUUUUGUUCGCUUUGGCUGCUAAGUUUAAAGCCGAUAGUUUGGGAAAAUACUGUCUUGUCGCUAUUUCACUUUUUUAAGAAACUGACUCGUGAAAUGAAUAUCAUUUGAAACUGGAAGCAUAAUAGGGAAUGUGUGUCAACAUAUUUAUACAUCUGAGAUGUUUCCACAUUUAGCAAAUAACAUUUUCCAUAUACUGUAAGCGCAGUAUUGAAAAAAUCAUAUUCUUUUUAAUUUUAUCGCAAUUUUAUGACCCUUUGAAAUUUUAAAAUUGCCCAAGAAUGUUUGGGGAGGGGUACUAUGGCUUCUGUCAGAAGGCAGUAAUUUUAAACAAAAGGAAGCUAUGUAGUUUCCAUCAACAACGUAUAUUUUGAUAAUUUUAGGAAAUAACCAAAUUGAACGAUAUCAAUUAUUCUGAUACGUGUACAAUAGUAAGCCCCUUUAAUUGUUUUUAACGUCUUGGUUCUGGAUUUAAGAUAUACAUGUACUUACAAUUUAAAAAAAUAAAUGAAUAAUGUCUCAAUGACAAGAACCCAAUUUGUUUAUUCGCAAUCUAUCAGCAGCGUGUUACAUAUCAUAAUCAUGAUAUUGAGUCAUAACAUUUCAUAAUCUUGAUAUUGAGUUAUAAGUCCCACAACCUGUAAACCUACAUUUUAAACAUUUUCUGUGCAAGAUUUAUCGUUCUUUUCCAGAAAAUCUCCACAUUUUCUGUGCAAGAUUUAUCGUUCUUUUCCAGAAAAUCUCCACAUUUUCUGUGCAAGAUUUAUCGUUCUUUUCCAGAAAAUAAGUUUUGAAGUUAUUUAGAAAACUAUCUAUUCUUUCUAAAAUAUUGAUAUGCGAUUCAAAAUCAUUUAUAUAAGUCGUUGGGGUUGAGAUGUAACGUUGGGUUCAUACCAGUUAGAUGAGCUUAUUUUGUUUUUCUCUUAAUAUUGCGGGAACAAAAAGAUUUGUAAUAUAUUGAGACUGGUACAAAAGUGAGCUUGAGAGAAAAUAGAAUUGUAUAAUGUAUAUAGAUUAUGUAAGAUGAAACAGUGUCUUUUUGUAAAUAAGAUGUGAAAAAGGGUUUCUUUGUUUUCUGUAUUGCAUUUCAUAAUAAUAAACAUCCGCAAAUACAAUACGGGGUUU